rnacentral:rRNA from 1 species
UACAGAGGGUGCAAGCGUUGUUCGGAAUUAUUGGGCGUAAAGGGCGCGUAGGCGGUGCUGUAAGUCUGUGGUGAAAUCUCUGGGCUCAACUCAGAGUCUGCCAUAGAAACUGCAGUGCUGGAGUGUGGGAGAGGUGAGUGGAAUUCCCGGUGUAGCAGUGAAAUGCGUAGAGAUGCGGCGGAACACCGAUGGCGAAGGCAGCCCCCUGGGCUGAGAUUGACGCUCAGGCACGAAAGCGUGGGGAGCAAACAGG